AAGGAUCUAUGUGCUUUUCCUGGCCAGCUUAGAUUCAUAUUUCUUUGAACUGCAAGUGAAGUGAGGCUUCAUUUGAAUGUUUUAAACCAUUUCGUGCAACCUUGCUGCAGGUUCAAUACUUUUUCUGGUUUCAACAACAAAAAGACAACUGCUCACUGCUCUGAACAAGAACCACACAAGCGGAUCAUCUAACAUAACCUGUUUGAGGGAAGGUAUGUCGUCCUUUGGUUUCUACUUUAGCUAGUUCCCUUACUAUCAAAGGUUGUAUUCAGAAUUUGUAUUACGAAUUCUUGUAGGUAGUACCAACAAAGAGCAGACCAAAUGAUUUCUUCAGGAAAGAGGAAAAGCCCAUUAACUUCAGAAUUCAUUUGUCAAGUCUGUGAACUGGCAGGUAUAUAUGUUCAGGCUUCAGUUUGUAUAGUCACUAUGCUCUACCAACAGUAGAUUCAUGGACUUUGUUAUCUUUGAAAACAUGAAAGAUAUCAAGGUAUUGAAGUGACUACUUAGGAAAAUGGAUAGAUAGAAAAUUACCGAAAGAAUUAUGCCUCUAACUCCUUAUGUGCUUCGUAAGUGCUGUUUCUUUUUAGGGCUUCCAACACAACAGAAUUGCUUCUAAUCUUUUGUGUUAUCUUUUGUCAUGGAAGUAGCUAUGUGCUGCUUCAGUGUGUAGUUCAGUUGUGCAUUAUGGCUUAAAUAAGAAUCUCGAAAAAAAAUUGUAGCACAUUGGCAUCGACAUGUACUGCAUUAUUUUUCCAUGUCAUUCUUCUGAAGAAUCUGAAGUUUCCAAAUCUCUGUUGGUAAUGUUGCAGGCUUGUGGUGGCGACGCUGACGGUCGUCGAGAGGUUCAUGGACUGGAU
rnacentral:lncRNA from 1 species